CUACGGGUGGCUGCAGUGGGGAAUAUUGGACAAUGGGCGAAAGCCUGAUCCAGCCAUGCCGCGUGUGUGAAGAAGGCCUUCGGGUUGUAAAGCACUUUCAGUGGGGAAGAAAGCCUUGGGGCUAAUACCCUCGAGGAAGGACAUCACCCACAGAAGAAGCACCGGCUAACUCCGUGCCAGCAGCCGCGGUAAUACGGAGGGUGCGAGCGUUAAUCGGAAUUACUGGGCGUAAAGCGCGCGUAGGCGGUCUGAUAAGCCGGUUGUGAAAGCCCCGGGCUCAACCUGGGAACGGCAUCCGGAACUGUCAGGCUAGAGUGCAGGAGAGGAAGGUAGAAUUCCCGGUGUAGCGGUGAAAUGCGUAGAGAUCGGGAGGAAUACCAGUGGCGAAGGCGGCCUUCUGGACUGACACUGACGCUGAGGUGCGAAAGCGUGGGUAGCAAACAGGAUUAGAUACCCGAGUAGUC
rnacentral:rRNA from 1 species